GAAGAUUUCAAACUGUAGAAGCUUUUAAGACAAUGGCUUAUGAUUAUUUUGAUCAGACUCAACCAUUUGCAAUUAUAUCAAUUAUGAUUUCUUUGAUUAAAAUAUAAGUUUCAGCCAAGAACAAUGUCAAGGGCUCCAAUAUUCAUCAAGGAUCUGGCCCAGGGAAACCAAAUCUGGAAGAUGUUGAUAAGGGUUGUUGAUUUGUGGGUUGUUACGGAAAAAGAAGGACAACAACACCUUGAGCUUAUCAUUCAAGAUGGAAAGGUGAUCGAAUUCAUGUCACGACUAGGAGCCGAGACUUCAAAGAUUGGAUUGAUCACGUCACAGAGCAUGAAACCUAUUCCCUUUAUAAUGGAGAGCAUGUUCUGAAUGAUGGACCAUUCAAAGUCUGUGCUAACCCACUCAAACUUUUAUUCAAUGGAGGGACAACCAUGUAAAAUGUGGCGAUUCCAGAAAUACCGACUCACAAGUAUAACUUUCACCCUAUUGAAAAGUUUCUCAGUGGAAGCUACAAA